AGCCUCUUUCACUUUUUCCCUCCCGAGUGCCCCCUUCUCACCCCUCCCACUCCUCACACACCCUGUUUGCCCGUGAGCCUGGGGAACUUGCAGUUUAAAGCCGGCCACCCCCACGGCAAUAUGUACCCCAGCAACAAGAAGAAAAAGGUGUGGAGAGAGGAGAAAGAACGUUUACUGAAGAUGACCUUAGAGGAGAGGCGUAAAGAAUACAUAAGAGACUAUGUUGCCCUGGAUACCAUUCUAUCCUGGAAGGAGGAGAUGAAGGGCAAGAGCCAAAAUGAUG